UACAGGGGGUGCAAACGUUGCUCAGAAUUAUUGGGCGUAAAGCGCGCGUAGGCGGCCACUUAAGUCGGAUGUGAAAGCCCUUGGCUCAACUGAGGAAGUGCACCCGAAACUGAAUGGCUUGAGUACUAAAGAGGGUCGCGGAAUUCCCGGUGUAGAGGUGAAAUUCGUAGAUAUCGGGAGGAACACCGGUGGCGAAGGCGGCGACCUGGGUAGAUACUGACGCUGAGGCGCGAAAGCGUGGGGAGCAAACAGG
rnacentral:rRNA from 1 species